UCAGCGACUUAUAUUCUGUAGCAAGGUUAACCGUAUAGGGGAGCCGUAGGGAAACCGAGUCUUAACCGGGCGUUAAGUUGCAGGGUAUAGACCCGAAACCCGGUGAUCUAGCCAUGGGCAGGUUGAAGGUUGGGUAACACUAACUGGAGGACCGAACCGACUAAUGUUGAAAAAUUAGCGGAUGACCUGUGGCUGGGGGUGAAAGGCCAAUCAAACCGGGAGAUAGCUGGUUCUCCCCGAAAGCUAUUUAGGUAGCGCCUCGUGAAUUCAUCUCCGGGGGUAGAGCACUGUUUCGGCUAGGGGGCCAUCCCGGCUUACCAACCCGAUGCAAACUGCGAAUACCGGAGAAUGUUAUCACGGGAGACACACGGCGGGUGCUAACGUCCGUCGUGAAGAGGGAAACAACCCAGACCGCCAGCUAAGGUCCCAAAGUCAUGGUUAAGUGGGAAACGAUGUGGGAAGGCCCAGACAGCCAGGAUGUUGGCUUAGAAGCAGCCAUCAUUUAAAGAAAGCGUAAUAGCUCACUGGUCGAGUCGGCCUGCGCGGAAGAUGUAACGGGGCUAAACCAU
rnacentral:rRNA from 3 species